UACGGAAGGCAGCAGUGGGGAAUAUUGCACAAUGGGCGCAAGCCUGAUGCAGCCAUGCCGCGUGUAUGAAAAAGGCCUUCGGGUUGUAAAGUACUUUCAGUCGUGAGGAAGGUGUUAAGGUUAAUAACCUUAGCAAUUGACGUUAGCGACAGAAGAAGCACCGGCUAACUCCGUGCCAGCAGCCGCGGUAAUACGGAGGGUGCGAGCGUUAAUCGGAAUUACUGGGCGUAAAGGGCACGCAGGCGGUUAAUUAAGUUUGGAUGUGAAAUCCCCCGGGCUUAACCUGGGAAUGGCAUUCAAGACUGGUUAGCUAGAGUCUUGUAGAGGGGGUAGAAUUCCAUGUGUAGCGGUGAAAUGCGUAGAGAUGUGGAGGAAUACCGGUGGCGAAGGCGGCCCCUGGACAAAGACUGACGCUCAUGUGCGAAAGCGUGGGGAGCAAACAGGGAUUAGAUACC
rnacentral:rRNA from 1 species